GACGAACGCUGGCGGCGUGCUUAACACAUGCAAGUCGAACGCUGAAGCUCAGCUUUUGUUGGGUGGAUGAGUGGCGAACGGGUGAGUAACACGUGAGUAACCUGCCUCCUUCUUUGGGAUAACGCCCGGAAACGGGUGCUAAUACUGGAUAUUCACUGGUCUUCGCAUGGGGGUUGGUGGAAAGGGUUUUUCUGGUGGGGGAUGGGCUCGCGGCCUAUCAGCUUGUUGGUGGGGUGAUGGCCUACCAAGGCUUUGACGGGUAGCCGGCCUGAGAGGGUGACCGGUCACAUUGGGACUGAGAUACGGCCCAGAAUGCUACGGGAGGCAGCAGUGGGGAAUAUUGCACAAUGGGCGCAAGCCUGAUGCAGCGACGCCGCGUGAGGGAUGGAGGCCUUCGGGUUGUGAACCUCUUUCGCUCAUGGUCAAGCCGCAACAAUGGUUGUGGUGAGGGUAGUGGGUAAAGAAGCGCCGGCUAACUACGUG
rnacentral:rRNA from 1 species